UUGGAGGGCAAGUCUGGUGCCAGCAGCCGCGGUAAUUCCAGCUCCAAUAGCGUAUAUUAAAGUUGCUGCAGUUAAAAAGCUUGUAGUUGAAUUUCGGGACCAAUAUGUCGGUCGUGCCUCGGUACGUACUGGCAUCGUUGGUUUCUCCCUUCUGACGAACCAUGAUGUCAUUCAUUUGGUGUCGUGGGGAAUCAGGACUGUUACUUUGAAAAAAUUAGAGUGUUUAAAGCAGGCUCACGCUUGAAUACAUUAGCAUGGAAUAAUGAAAUAGGACGUUUGAUUCUAUUUUGUCGGUUUCUAGGAUCGACGUAAUGAUUAAUAGGGAUAGUUGGGGGCAUUAGUAUUCAAUUGUCAGAGGUGAAAUUCUUGGAUUUAUUGAAGACUAACUACUGCGAAAGCAUUUGCCAAGGAUGUUUUCAUUAAUCAAGAACGAAAGUUAGGGGAUCGAAGACGAUCAGAUACCGUCGUAGUCUUAACCAUAAACUAUGCCGACUAGGGAUCGGAUGAUGUUAAUUUUUUAAUGACUCAUUCGGCGCCUUACGGGAAAC
rnacentral:rRNA from 1 species